rnacentral:lncRNA from 1 species
GUGCACCUGUGCAGCUGAGAGACAUUUAAGAUCUAAGUUAUAACAGUGUUUCCCUGGACCCCUAAAGGCUUGUGUCUACCUCAUUUUGCAAAAUGCAUUAAUAAACCUCCAGGAAUCACCAAUGUCUUAAUAGUUCCAGCAUUGCUGAUAAGUGCAAGUUCAAUGUUUCUUCUGAAACUCAAGAACAGAUGAUGGAAUAAAGACAACAGAUUUGGUGCUAAAUGGUUAUGGCGGCAACAUGGUCACUCAUCUGAAUCACUGGUUUGAGAAUCCAGUAGCUGAGUCCAUGUUUUUAUUUCAAACUUUGUAAACAUUAAAAUAUGUAUUACAACUGAAUGAACAUGUAUAAAAUGGUAACAUUAUGUUGCUCACAGUAUCACAUAAGACACUCAAUGAAGUGACUGAGAAGGCUCAUAUCUUUAUUACUAACUCACAGCUGUGAUUCUUACCCAGCACUAAAAACAAAUGAAGUUGAUGAAACAUAUUGUCUAUUCAAUGCUUUUUCAGUGAUUACAAAAAGAAGAAAAAAGAUUCAUGCUAAAAUAGAAAACUGUUUUAGUAGAUAUUCUACUGUUUAAUACUAGGUACAUGAAAGACAGAAUUUUAAUUAAACUCUCCCUAUC